CAGCCAGACUCCUACGGGAGGCAGCAGUGGGGAAUAUUGGGCAAUGGAGGAAACUCUUACCCAGCAAUGCCGCGUGAAUGAAGAAGGUCUUCGGAUUGUAAAGUUCUUUAAUUGGGGACGAAAAAAAUGACGGUACCCAAGGAAUAAGCUCCGGCUAACUACGUGCCAGCAGCCGCGGUAAUACGUAGGGAGCAAGCGUUGUUCGGAAUGACUGGGCGUAAAGGGUGCGUAGGCGGUUGUACAAGUUAGAAGUGAAAUACCCAGGGCUUAACUCGGGUGCUGCUUCUAAAACUGUAUGACUUGAGUGCAGUAGAGGUUAGUGGAAUUCCUAGUGUAGCGGUGGAAUGCGUAGAUAUUAGGAGGAACACCAGAGGCGAAGGCGGCUAACUGGACUGCAACUGACGCUGAGGCACGAAAGUGUGGGGAGCAAACAGGAUUAGAUACCCUUGUA
rnacentral:rRNA from 1 species